rnacentral:rRNA from 1 species
AUUGAACGCUGGCGGCAUGCCUUACACAUGCAAGUCGAACGGUAACGGGCCUUCGGGUGCCGACGAGUGGCGAACGGGUGAGUAAUACAUCGGAACGUGCCCGAUCGUGGGGGAUAACGAGGCGAAAGCUUUGCUAAUACCGCAUACGAUCUACGGAUGAAAGCAGGGGACCGCAAGGCCUUGCGCGGACGGAGCGGCCGAUGGCAGAUUAGGUAGUUGGUGGGAUAAAAGCUUACCAAGCCGACGACCUGUAGCUGGUCUGAGAGGAUGAUCAGCCACACUGGGACUGAGACACGGCCCAGACUCCUACGGGAGGCAGCAGUGGGGAAUUUUGGACAAUGGGCGCAAGCCUGAUCCAGCCAUGCCGCGUGCAGGAUGAAGGCCUUCGGGUUGUAAACUGCUUUUGUACGGAACGAAAAGCCUUCUUUUAAUACAGGGGGGUCAUGACGGUACCGUAAGAAUAAGCACCGGCUAACUACGUG